GAUGAAGAACGCAGCGAAAUGCGAUAAGUAGUGUGAAUUGCAGAAUUCAGUGAAUCAUCGAAUCUUUGAACGCACAUUGCGCCCCUGGGUAUUCCAUGGGGCAUGCCUGUUCGAGCGUCAUUUGUACCUUCAAGCUUUGCUUGGUGUUGGGUGUUUGUCUCGCCUUUGCGUGUAGACUCGCCUUAAAAUAAUUGGCAGCCGGCGUAUUGAUUUCGGAGCGCAGUACAUCUCGCGCUUUGCACUCAUAACGACAGCGUCCAAAAGUACAUUUUACACUCUUGACCUCGGAUCAGGUAGGGAUACCCGCUGAACUUAAGCAUAUCAAUAAGCGGAGGA
rnacentral:misc_RNA from 1 species